rnacentral:rRNA from 1 species
UACGGAGGAUGCGAGCGUUAUCCGGAUUUAUUGGGUUUAAAGGGUGCGUAGGCGGCUUUUUAAGUCAGCGGUGAAAUUUUGCAGCUUAACUGUAAAAGUGCCAUUGAUACUGGUUUCCUUGAGUGUGGAUGAAGUAGGCGGAAUUUGUGGUGUAGCGGUGAAAUGCAUAGAUAUCACGAGGAACUCCGAUCGCGCAGGCAGCUUACUAAACUACUACUGACGCUCAGGCACGAAGGCGUGGGGAUCAAACAGGAUUAGAUACCCCCGUAGU